GAGAAAGAGAGAAAAAGAAUACCAAUGAUAUAAAAUUCCAAUAUGUAAGGUCUAUGAGUAAUCUCAUAAAAGACAGUGUAAUAAAGCAUCAAUACGCAUUCAUACCAUACUAAAAAGAAUCUUCUUAUAGAAAUAGAACAAAAAAUCAAGAGCUUCGAGCCAAUAAAGACUAAGAAGAUUGACUCAAGAACCAAUUUGAUUCUGAGCUCCAUUGUAGAAUUCGGACCUAACCAUUAAGUAAGAAGUGAUGGGAACGACGGAACUUGUGAAUGCAAAAGAUUCUAUUGAAAAAGGAAUCUUAAUGAUUCACUGGUCGGGAUGGCGGAACGAACCAUAGAUUAAUUCAUGUAUUCUGAGAUCUGAGAAGUCACGAGUUAACCCUACAAAUGAAAUAGGGAUUGAAAGAGUAAAUAUUCGCCCGCGAAAACUUUUUUAUUGCAAAAUUUAGGACAAUACAAUAAAGGACAAAAUAAGGAUUUGGUAUAAUAAUACAAUUUUUUUAUUUCUCUUUAGAAAACUACAAAGUUUAGUUAUCUAUUCAAACAAGAUAUACAAAUUACUAAUAGAUUUAAUGAAAUCUCAAAGAAGCCCACGUUCAAGGUAUUACUCAGUAAAUACAUAUCUUAUAUAUCUUAACUUAAGAUUUACUAUUCUAGCUUAAUUCAAAUUGAAUUUUUUUGAAUCCUUUUAUUUGCGAGGAGCUGGAUGAGAAGAAACUCUCACGUCCGGUUCUGUAGUAGAGAUGGAAUUCAGAACCAACCAUCAACUAUAACCCCAAAAGAACCAGAUUCCGUAAACAACAUAGAGGCAGAAUGAAGGGAAUAUCUUAUCGAGGUAAUCGUAUUUCUUUCGGUAAAUAUGCUCUUCAGGCACUUGAACCUGCUUGGAUUACAUCUCGACAAAUAGAAGCAGGCCGACGGGCAAUGACACGAAAUGCACGUCGUGGUGGAAAAAUAUGGGUACGUAUAUUUCCAGACAAACCUGUUACAUUAAGACCGGCAGAAACCCGUAUGGGUUCAGGAAAAGGAUCCCCUGAAUAUUGGGUAGCUGUUGUUAAACCGGGGCGAAUACUUUAUGAAAUGGGUGGAGUAACAGAAAAUAUAGCCAGAAGGGCUAUUUCACUAGCAGCAUCCAAAAUGCCUAUACGAACUCAAUUCAUUAUUUCGUAAUGUAAUAGAAAAAAAUGUAGAAAGGGCUCUUAGAUAUGAAAGAAAACCGCAUGUUUCUUUUUUUUGGACAAAAAUAUUUCUUUUUUUUUCUUCGCCCUUUGCAUUCAAAGAACGGAUUAAAAAAAUGAUUCAACCUCAGACCCAUUUAAAUGUAGCGGAUAAUAGCGGGGCUCGAGAAUUGAUGUGUAUUCGAAUCAUAGGAGCUAGCAAUCGUCGAUAUGCUCAUAUUGGUGACGUUAUUGUUGCUGUGAUCAAAGAAGCAGUACCAAAUAUGCCCCUAGAAAGAUCAGAAGUAGUCAGAGCUGUAAUUGUGCGUACCUGUAAAGAACUCAAACGUGACAACGGGAUGAUAAUACGAUACGAUGACAAUGCUGCAGUUGUUAUUGAUCAAGAAGGAAAUCCAAAAGGAACUCGAAUUUUUGGUGCAAUCGCCCGGGAAUUGAGAGAAUUAAAUUUUACUAAAAUAGUUUCAUUAGCUCCCGAGGUAUUAUAAAAUGAAAUUGUGAUCUGUUUCGAGUGGGGUAUUUGAAAGAAAUAGAUUAAUUAGUAGAUUGUGUCUCACGCAUAUAUCUUUAAUAAUUCAUAUCAUAUUCAAAAAUAAAUAAGUAAAAAACACGUUGAUUAUAUCAAAUUUGGAGACCCCAAUAAUUUUAGUUCAUCAUGGGCAGGGACACUAUUGCUGAGAUAAUAACUUCUAUACGAAAUGCUGAUAUGGAUCGAAAAAGGGUGGUUCGAAUAGCAUCUACUAAUAUUACCGAAAAUAUUGUUCAAAUACUUUUACGAGAGGGUUUUAUCGAAAACGUGAGAAAACAUCGAGAAAACAACAAAUACUUUUUGGUUUUAACCCUGCGACAUAGAAGGAAUAGGAAAAGACCCUAUAGAAAUAUUUUAAAUUUAAAACGAAUCAGUCGACCUGGUCUACGAAUCUAUUCUAAUUAUCAACGAAUUCCGCGAAUUUUAGGUGGAAUGGGGAUUGUAAUUCUUUCUACUUCUCGAGGUAUAAUGACAGACCGAGAGGCUCGACUAGAAGGAAUAGGUGGAGAAAUUUUGUGUUAUAUCUGGUAAUCCUUUAUAAUAUGCAAAUUGAAUUCGAAACUUCCUAUUUGCGAAAAAGGGGGGGAGAGUUAUCUAAUAUCUUUCGCAUUAGUUGAUACCUCAAAGGAACUUUGUUUUAUACAGAUACUGCCAGGAGAUAGAGUCAAAAUUGAAGUAAGUCCUUAUGAUUCAACCAAAGGACAUAUAAUUUAUCGACUCCACAACAAAGAUUUGAAGGAUUAGGUUUUCAACUUCACCAUUCCUUUCGUGGGAAUACAAUUCGAGAUGAAAAAUUUCAAGAAACUUAUUUUCUUCCAAGAAAUAGAUUCAGAAUUAAGGUAAGGAAUGAUAAAUAUGAAAAUAAGAGCUUCCGUUCGUAAAAUUUGUGAAAAAUGUCGACUAAUCCGUAGGAGGGGGCGCAUUAUAGUAAUUUGUUCCAACCCGAGACAUAAACAAAGACAGGGCUAAUCAGACUUGCCAGAAGAGCCGAUGUACAAAUAAAGAAUCUGUUUUGACAUGAAAUGGAUAUAUCCAUAUAUCUCUGACUCAUAUUUACGAGAUGAUAAAAUAUGGCAAAAGCUAUACCGAAAAUUAGUUCGCGUCGGAAUGGACGUAUUAGUUCACGUAAGGGUGCACGUAGAAUACCAAAGGGAGUUAUUCAUGUUCAAGCAAGUUUCAAUAAUACCAUUGUCACUGUUACAGAUGUACGGGGUCGAGUAGUUUCUUGGUCCUCAGCUGGUACUUCUGGAUUCAAAGGUACGAGAAGAGGAACACCGUUUGCUGCUCAAACCGCAGCAGCAAACGCUAUCCGUACAGUAGUGGAUCAAGGUAUGCAACGAGCAGAAGUCAUGAUAAAAGGUCCCGGUCUCGGAAGAGAUGCAGCAUUACGAGCUAUUCGUCGCAGUGGUAUACUAUUAACUUUCGUACGGGAUGUAACUCCGAUGCCACAUAAUGGCUGUAGACCUCCGAAAAAAAGACGUGUGUAGAACUGAACAUUGAAGAAAUCUCAAGAGAAAUAAAAGAUUCGAUGAUCUAAUCAAAUAAUAGUACUAUGGUUCGAGAGAAAGUAACAGUAUCUACUCGGACACUACAGUGGAAGUGUGUUGAAUCAAGAACAGACAGUAAACGCCUUUAUUAUGGACGCUUUAUUCUGUCUCCACUUAUGAAAGGCCAAGCCGACACAAUAGGCAUUGCGAUGCGAAGAGCUUUACUUGGGGAAAUAGAAGGAACAUGUAUCACACGUGUAAAAUCUGAGAAAGUACCACAUGAAUAUUCUACCAUAACGGGCAUUCAAGAAUCGGUACAUGAAAUUUUAAUGAAUUUGAAAGAGAUUGUAUUGAGAAGUAAUUUAUAUGGAACUUCUGAGGCGUCUAUUUGUGUCAAGGGUCCUGGAUAUGUAACUGCUCAAGAUAUCAUCUUGCCACCUUAUGUGGAAAUCGUUGAUAAUACACAACAUAUAGCUAGUUUAACGGAACCAAUUGAUUUUUGUAUUGGAUUACAAAUAGAGAGAAAUCGUGGAUAUCUUAUAAAAACGCCACAUAACUUUCAAGAUGGAAGUUAUCCUAUAGAUGCUGUAUUCAUGCCUGUUCGAAACGCGAAUCAUAGUAUUCAUUCUUAUGGGAAUGGGAAUGAAAAACAAGAGAUACUUUUUAUCGAAAUAUGGACAAACGGAAGUUUAACUCCGAAAGAAGCACUUCAUGACGCAUCCCGAAAUUUAAUUGAUUUAUUUAUUCCCUUUUUACAUAUGGAGGAAGACAACUUAUAUUUACAGGACAAUCAACACACGGUUCCUUUAUCCCCUUUUACCUUUCAUGAUAAAUUGGCUAAACUCAUAAAAAACAAAAAAAAAAUAGCAUUGAAAUCGAUUUUUAUUGACCAAUCAGAAUUGUCUUCCAGGAUCUAUAAUUGCCUCAAAAUGUCCAAUAUAUAUACAUUAUUGGACCUUUUGAAUAACAGCCAAGAAGAUCUUAUGAAAAUUGAACAUUUUCGUAGCGAAGAUAUAAAACAGAUAUUGGACAUUUUAGAAAAAUAUUUCGUAAUUGAUUUAGCAAAAAAUAAGUUUUAAAUCUAUUGGACUUACUUAGUGAAAAUAGAUUGAAAAAGCACAAUUUAGCACAAUUAAUAUAUCAUAUAUUAGAUAUUAGAAAGAAAUUAAUAAUGAAAUUGAAUAGAUGUAUCUAGGGAGAAUUCGCUUUGAAGAAACUAUUCCCUAGAUACACAUGUCGUGUUAGUUCACAAUUGAAUCAAUUAAAAAAUUUAAAAAAGACCUAAAGUUAGGGAUUUAUCAAUAGGUAAUGUUGCACCAAUGCCCAACCAAAGGGCGACUGCGGUACCAAUCAAAAAGACAGUCGUCGCUACUGGACGGCGAAAUGGAUUUUGGAAUUUAUUAACAUUCUCUAAAAAAGGUACUGUUAAUAAUCCCGCAGGUACUGAAACCAUUAAAAGAACCCCCAAUAAUUUAUUGGGCACUGUACGAAGUAUUUGAAAUACAGGAAAGAAAUACCAUUCAGGUAAGAUUUCCAAAGGGGUUGCAAAUGGAUCCGCUGGUUCACCAAUCAUUGAUGGUUCUAAAACGGCUAAGCCUACAUUACAUGCAAUAGUACCUAGAAUUACUACUGGAAAAAUAUAUAAAAGAUCAUUGGGCCAUGCGGGCUCGCCAUAAUAAUUAUGACCCAUACCCUUAGCCAAUUUAGCUCUUAAUACAGGAUCAUUCAAGUCAGGUUUUUUUGUUAUUGGGAUAGGUGAAUUCUUAUAGAUCCAUCCCCCGAGGGAACUGGACAUGAUAAUUUUUAAUCA
rnacentral:lncRNA from 1 species